GUAAUACUCCAUAGUUCGUUAUUACUGGAAUGUUUUUCGAACGAAAGAUCCGUCGCUUCAGGAUGAGUCUGCGGCCGAUUAGGUAGUUGUUGGGGUAAUUGCCCAACAAGCCUGUUAAUCGGUACGGGUUGUGGGAGCAAGAGCCCGGAGAUGGAUUCUGAGACACGAAUCCAGGCCCUACGGGGCGCAGCAGGCGCGAAAACUUUACCAUGCGGGCAACCGUGAUAAGGAAACCCCGAGUGCCAGCACAGGCUGGCUGUCCGCCAGUUUAAACAACUGGCGAAGAAAGGGCCGGGCAAGACCGGUGCCAGCCGCCGCGGUAAUACCGGCGGCUCGAGUGGUGGCCGCUAUUACUGGGCUUAAAGGGUCCGUAGCUUGAUAAUAGGGUCCCUUGAGAAAUCCGCCGGCUUAACUGGCGGGCGUUCAGGGGAAACUUGUUUUCUAGGGACCGGGAGAGGUGAGGGGUACUGCCGGGGUAGGAGUGAAAUCCUGUAAUCCCGGUGGGACCACCUAUGGCGAAGGCAUCUCACCAGAACGGGUCCGACAGUGAGGGACGAAAGCUGGGGGAGCAAACCGGAUUAGAUACCCGGGUAGUCCCAGCUGUAACUAUGUGCGUUAGGUGU
rnacentral:rRNA from 1 species